rnacentral:rRNA from 1 species
UACGUAGGGUGCAAGCGUUAAUCGGAAUUACUGGGCGUAAAGCGUGCGCAGGCGGUUAUGUAAGACAGUUGUGAAAUCCCCGGGUUCAACCUGGGAACUGCAUCUGUGACUGCAUAGCUAGAGUACGGUAGAGGGGGAUGGAAUUCCGCGUGUAGCAGUGAAAUGCGUAGAUAUGCGGAGGAACACCGAUGGCGAAGGCAAUCCCCUGGACCUGUACUGACGCUCAUGCACGAAAGCGUGGGGAGCAAACAGG